ensembl:lncRNA
UAUCAUCUCGUGUUUGUUGGAGGGUAGGCAAGAUUAGCUCUUUAGAAAAGUAGACCUCCUAAGAUUACCAGCUACUUUUUUAGAAAUAGAUAAUUAAUUAAAAAAAUCAUUCAUCUCUAAUUCUAGUGAAUAUGUGGAAGGAAAUAAAUUACUGGCAUUGUACAAGUGGCAGUCUUGCUGGUCCUGACAAACUUGCAUCCAGUGUUCUUUCUGUUCCUGUACGAGCAUUUGUGGGACCCACCUGGCACAACCUUCCAACUGAGUGUAUUCUAUGAUUUUAUAUUUGAAAAGACCAUUCAAGAACCUCGUGGACCAUCUUCUUUUUUCAUUCAUGUUCUCACUGGAUUGAUCUAGAUACAGCAGGGAAAGAGUGUGGGGAUAUGAAAAGGAAAAUUCUCCAGUCCAUCUAAGAAAAGGGACCACCAAGGUGAAAGAAGAGAUCCUGGAUUAACACUUUUCAGCGUCAGCCUGGAAAGAUUCUUUUCAGGCAAUUACUGUUGCCAGAAAGUAAUUCAAUAUUCUGUAAUUUAAACUGAAACUGAACUACAUUUAUUGCUUGGUAUUGCACAACUCUGACGAUGCAAGGAAUAGAAGUUAAUUUUGAAGACUCAUCAAAAGUGAGGAUACUGCUUGCUACAUGGUUGUGUUACUGGAAGCUUCUGCAAAAAAAUUGGCAACUAAAAGAGAGCUGCAGUGAUUAGUCAAAGCCCCUGAGACAGUUAAUUUUCGAUUGAAUAAGAAGAUAAAUUUUAUGUUUCCUCUCCAGAACACAAGGUAGGAAAAAUAGUUGGUGUUUUAGAUUCCUGGUGACUGUGAGUAUUUCUCAACAGAAGCUAUCACUUCAUUGUUAUUGUUAGAAGGUGUUCAAAUAGCAAAGAUUUUUGUAACUUUUUAAAAUGAAACUGUACUAUGCUGCUGAACAGUGGUGAGUGUGUGUAAGAAGGUAGAGAAUUCAUACAUAGAAAACACCAUUAGUCUUAUCCCAAUAGUAUGUUUUAGAAAAGCUUUUCCUUUAAAAAAACAAAAUCAUUUCUUUCAGUAGGAAACUGGAAAAAAACAACAGCAAAAACAAAAAACAAAAAAACAAAAAAACAAACAAAAAACCAACCAACCAAAAAAAAAAAAAAAACCACAUCAAUCAACUGUUCAGAUUUACCAUGUUCAUCCUGCUGUACUCAUCUGAUAUUUUCUUUGAUAAGGUAUGUCAUUUCUAGAAAAAGAACACACGUUACUGAUAAAACUGAAGAAGAUAAUGAAAUAGCCUAAGAAAUGAGAAAUGUAGGGUGCAUUAAAAAUGUAAAGAUUAUGAUUAAUAUAGAAUCGAAAGGAAUUUACUCAUGAUACUGACUGAGAAUUUUCAUAGAGGUCAGUGCUUAAUAUUUUAAUUUCUGACCACAGCCCUGUGUAGCUGUGAGAGUAUCAGGUAACUGUUUUUAGCAUCAAAUAGGUAGAAGAUAUUGUCAAUAUAUGAAUGAUCUAAAUGUCUUAAAGAGAUAAAAUGUAAUGAAAUAAUCAAGUUAUCAAGCAUGAUAUCAUUCAUCCAGUGAUCAUGUUUUUAAUUUUUGCUGUAAAGCAGGAAUUUGGGCUGACCAAAGGGAUUGUGUAGUCAUAAAGGAUUGUCAGACAUCAGUAUAAUGCAUAUGUGGAAAUCUUAAGAUAUAUCAACUGCAAUAUUCAAAUGAAAACAAAAGUAUUCUGAUCAUUCUGCUCUUGAAAAAAGAAACAAACUCAAAUGUUAACUAGAGUAGAUUUGAAACAUACUACACAGAUGAGCAGGAAAGGGGACAGCCUGUGUCCUGUGAAUCUGGAAUACAUCUUUUUUUGUUGCUGUAUUCUUUGGGUUUUUUGUUUGUUUGUUUGUUUGUUUGUUAUGUAAAACAGAGUUUAAGAAUUCCUGUGGCUAAAUCCAGGCCAGAAAGGGGAAACAUUCUUUAAAGGACAACACUGUUAAGAGAAAAAGUAAUUAUGAAUUGGUAGGGAAUAGACUCGGGUUUGGUAUUUCAAAUUUCCAGCCAUCUUUGGAAGAAGUUUCUGGAGUAAUCUUCCAAUAGGAAUGGCAAGGCAAAAACAUAAAGCUUGUUUCUGAGUGGUCCUCCAUUAGUUUAUGAAAUGGGUCAUAUGAUUACUCAAUAACUUUUGAUCUCAAGAUGUUUGGUGGCAUUUUUGUCUAAGCAAAUAAAUCAGGAAUGUGAGAGUUUUCUGGUUUUGUUAUGAGGAGUUGUAAGUAGUGCAGAUUAGAAGUACGGUUCACAUAAAUGUGUGUUUGUAACAAGAUACAUUUUAACGAUUUAAACCAGGAUGAUUAUACAUGCAGAACAGUUUCUGGAAAGUAUUCUCUAAUACUUUCAGUUUCUGAGAGUAUUUUCUAAUACUUUCUUGUUGCAGGCUAUAUACUUACACAAAUUUAUUUUUCUGGAGUUGUUUUCUAAAACUAAACCUUUUCCAAGAUUUCUAUAUCAGAAUAUAAGGAAGGCAUGGGAGUAUCAUUACCUUAAAGUGAUAAGUUGAAUAUAUGCAUUUUGAACACACAAAUAAAUUAAUUCUCAAAGUUACAGAAAACACUAGAAUAAUUUUUCAUUAAAACUCAAAUGAUUAAAGAUAAUUAUUAAUUUGCCUUCACCUGAGAGAAACUAUUUAGUCAUCAACGUCUACUUGCUUCUUCCUUACUCUGCAUAACUUUUCAUUUCUGCAGAUAGACAGCUGAGGUUUUCACUCUCCUUUUCCUUUAUCAUGCUUCUCAGCCCAUAACAGUUUAGAGAACUGCUCUUUUUACCUUCUUUCUACCAUGUCCACUCUGCAUUGAAGUGUUGUUCUCUUUUCCUCCUUUUCAGAAAAAUAGCCAAAAGUAAAUAAUGGUAAAAUGAAUUCUUCCUAAGUAUUUGUCCUGACAAGCAAAUGAAUGUUCAACUAUGGAAAAUAAGGCAAAUAUUCCUAACACUACGCAGUUAUUAUAUACAUCACUGUAAUAUUUGGAUGAAAGAUAAAUUUUGGUUAGCUAUUCAAUAUUUCUUCAAUUAUAAGUCACUUCAUCUUUGGAAAGGCAAAAGUUAUCUGUCCUUUUUGUAUAGAGGAAUUCCUCAAAAAUAUUAGGAUGCACAUGGUUAAGUAUUAUGUAGUCUAGCCAGAUUCUGAAAACAUGAAGGUGCAGAAAAAUCAAGUAUAGUGCACUACCAGCGUUGAACAUUAGUACAGUACACAUCACAGUGAACAAGAGGUACUAACAAGCAUGCAGUCUUGCUUCCUUUGAUUCAGACUAUGUGAGCACAUAGCAAUAGGUCAAUUUUUUUAACCACCAGAAAGUGAGAUGAAAUACAUUCCAGAAGUAUAUCCAAAAGUAAUUCUCCUAAGCAUUGGAAAAGGAAAGGCUGCCCUGUAACUUAGUACCAGAAAGGCAUAACACAGGAGAUGAACCAGGUGUGACAGUUGGUAUUCCCUCUCUGAGACCUAAACAACACUUGAAACCUACACUUGAAGAUAAGCAAAAUGUGAGGUUGAUGAGAGUUUAAUGAAAAUAAUAUUUAACUUUAAUUAGUGAGAGCAGAAGCUAACUAAUUUUCACUUGGCUAACUCCCAGACUCCCUAAUUGUAAAGGAAACUUUGUUUCUCUCUUCCACUCAAGAAAGAUUAAAAAAAAAACCAAACAAACAGGGAGCCAUGGGAAUACUGUAUCAAUGACAAAUCACUACUCUUCUGAAAAAUACAGUAAUUACACUACAGAGUAUCUUGCUGCAUCAUCAGAAAAAACUGAUAAUAACCUGGUCGUACUCUUAGUUAUAUCCCAUCAGAUUCAGAAAUUUUAUUUCUAAGAGGGAAAUAUUGAAACCCAUUUCUUAAAGCAGAAAUUUGCAAUUCCCUUUGUUCUGGCCCUUCAAGUUAUUAGGAAGGACUUGGGCCAAUAUCCCAUGGCUGGGCUUCAAAUUGAAUCUAGACCAUUAGUGGUCUGCUAUGCUUGUAGGAUUGAGAUAUUUAAUCUGUAUUUUCUAGAUUUUUACUGGUAGCAAACUCUUUCAUGGGAUAAGUAAACUGAGAGCAGCCCAGAGUUAAUUUUUAUUUUUGGUUUUCUAGAUUUAGAUCUAAAAUAUUUUAAAUGGUUUGUAUCAGGUUGCUUAUUUUGGCUGGCUGAGAAUAUAGAUUAAUAAGAAACACUCUGCAUAUCAGAAAUGCCCUCACCUAACAUAACUUUUAAACAUUUCUUCUUUUACUUGAAGCAGUCCAAAAGAGAAGAUGGGGUCUGAAAUAACUGUGGCCUAGUUCACAUAGCAGGACUAAGCAGGUACUAAUCAGGAAUGAAAAGCUGAUUCAAGGCAUUUCUUAUUGAGAUAGCAGUCUCUCUAAAUAAUCC